rnacentral:tRNA from 1 species
GCCUGAGUGGCUCAGUCAGUUGAGUGUCAGACUUCAGCUCAGGUCACGAUCCUGUGAUUUGUGGGUUCGAGCCCCACGUUGGGCU